GAUGAACGCUGGCGGCGUGCCUAAUACAUGCAAGUCGAGCGAACAGACGAGGAGCUUGCUCCUCUGACGUUAGCGGCGGACGGGUGAGUAACACGUGGAUAACCUACCUAUAAGACUGGGAUAACUUCGGGAAACCGGAGCUAAUACCGGAUAAUAUAUUGAACCGCAUGGUUCAAUAGUGAAAGACGGUUUUGCUGUCACUUAUAGAUGGAUCCGCGCCGCAUUAGCUAGUUGGUAAGGUAACGGCUUACCAAGGCAACGAUGCGUAGCCGACCUGAGAGGGGGAACGGCCACACUGGAACUGAACCACGGCCCAGCCCCCCACGGGAGGAAGCAGGAGGGAAUUUUCCGCAAGGGGCGAAAGCCUGACGGAGCAACGCCGGGGGAGUGAUGAAGGUUUUCGGAUCGUAAAACCUUUUUAUUAGGGAAAAAAAAAUGGGUAAGUAACCUUGCACGUUUUGACGGUACCAAAUCAAAAAGCCACGGCUAACUACGU
rnacentral:rRNA from 1 species